UACAACGUUUUUACUAUUUGUCUUAUUUGAAUUUUUUUACGAUUAAUAUUGAUAUUGUUUGUAGAUGAUAAAAGAUAAAUAGUACUUUAUGCGUGAAUAUUUUUUAAAAAAAUUUUGUACAAAAUUUUUAAAUAAGACGAAUGGUCAAACUUUGGACAAGAAAUC
rnacentral:pre_miRNA from 1 species